ensembl:snRNA U6 U6 spliceosomal RNA
GUGCUCACUUUGGCAGCACAUAUAUGAAAACUGGAACAAUACGGAGUAGCUUAGCAUGGCCCCUGCACAAGGAUGACACACAAAUACGUGAAGUGUUCCGUACUUCA